CAUAAUUUAUGAUAUCAAGUUGGAAAUCAAUAGAAAUGGCUAUGAAGGUCGGUUGGGUUGGACGAUUCUCUGGAGGAUGAGAGAGAUUUGGACAUGGCAGAUCGUAGGGCUACAGAGAUUGAGCUUGAUACCAUGGAGGGUUUUGCGUCAAGGGAAAAGCUCCACCAUCAUCUCAACGACCAAGGUUUCUUGACUUGAAGUUUAGUUUGUCUAUCAUAUUUAGAGAUAAUAAACGAGUCUCUGGGAGGUAUGCAAUGAGCUUUAAGUAGGUCAAUUAAUAGAUCCCAUGAAUCCAAGUGCACCACUUGCAUGAGUUGGAUGAAGUUGUGGGUUACAUGAGCCUGUGUUACCCUUUUGGGCUAACUGCCUCGGUUCUGUUUGGAAGACAUCAUAAGGCCAUAUUACAAUCUCCAAAAAAAAACUUUCCUUGUUCUUCUUUGCUUUAACUUCAUCAGCCUCCAGAUCUAAUAUUAAUUUUUCUCUUAGAUUCAGAAAUUGAUAAAUCUCUUAAACAAGGUUUAUCCCAUUUUUUUCUUCAGUAGUGUAGAAAGACAUGUUGCCAAUGUAUACGGUUGUUGAAUUUUGGAGUGCGUGUUCAUAUUCUUAUUGUGUUCCUGGAAACCUUUUGUCACGAUACGCUGAAAUCUUUGUUGGAUCCUGUAACAUUAACAUAGGUAAUGAAUAGAAUGCACACUGAUAAGUGAUAUUGGUAAUUUAGUAAUUUUAAAAAUAGGAAAAAUAUUGGAUAUUACCUUGAACAGCAACGCCAUUGCACCUUAUCUGAAAAUGAAGACAAGUAGUAUAUUGUGUUGUUACUCUCGAGUUAAUAGUUACACAUGCUUAUAGAAACAAAUCUGAUGAUGUUUAAAUUAGUAUGACUAUCACAUUUGUUGCAUGAAAUUAUUCUUACAGAACCAACUCUGAUGAUGUUUAAAUUAGAUGAGAAGCUGAAGUUGAUAGAAUCUCGUCUGGAAAGCAAAGUAUUUACUAAACCACCUCAAUACUCAACCCCUUUUACAUUGUUUUCAUCAUAUUGUUACAUAUAACAAGAUACACUUUUUGUUAUUGUAGAAUUGAGGGCCCACUUCUGGCUUACAUCCUCGUUGACGUACAUCACGUGAUAUUCCUCCGGUGUGGAGUUAAGAAUUUGGGGGUUUCUUUCAAGAAGCAAGUAAAAUGUACAGCAACUAAAGUUUACUUGGUCUCAAAUUCUUCUUGCCCAGGUUCCAAUGGCUCCAAAACAGCCAAACACAGGACUCUUUGUGGGUCUAAAUAAAGGGCAUGUUGUCACCAAGAAGGAAUUAGCACCUCGUCCUUCCGACAGAAAAGGGGCUUAUCAAGAUAUUCUCUAGCUUUGAGAGCUGCAUAAGGCUAAUGAUUAAAAAAAGAAAAAAUGGAGAUUCUAAAGAUCAUCAUCCAAAUGCACCAAAAUUUAGAGUAAGAUCGAACCACUAUUAAUGAAGGUAUUC